rnacentral:rRNA from 1 species
AAUGGACGAAAGUCUGACGCAGCGACGCCGCGUGGGGGAUGAAGGUCUUCGGAUUGUAAACCCCUUUCGGGAGGGAAGAUGGAGUGGGUAACCACUUGGACGGUACCCCCAGAAGCAGCCACGGCUAACUUCGUGCCAGCAGCCGCGGUAAUACGAAGGUGGCAAGCGUUGUUCGGAUUCACUGGGCGUACAGGGAGCGUAGGCGAUUGGGUAAGCCCUCCGUGAAAGCUGCGGGCCUAACCCGGAAAGUGCAGAGGGUACUGCCAGGCUAGAGGGUGGGAGAGGAGCGCGGAAUUCCCGGUGUAGCGGUGAAAUGCGUAGAGAUCGGGAGGAAGGCCGGUGGCGAAGGCGGCGCUCUGGAACAUACCUGACGCUGAGACACGAAAGCGUGGGGAGCGAA